rnacentral:rRNA from 1 species
CUUGAUCCCUGGCUCAGGAUGAAACGCUGGCGGCGUGCCUAAUACAUGCAAGUCGAGCGAAUGGAUUAAGAGCUUGCUCUUAUGAAGUUAGCGGCGGACGGGUGAGUAACACGUGGGUAACCUGCCCAUAAGACUGGGAUAACUCCGGGAAACCGGGGCUAAUACCGGAUAACAUUUUGCACCGCAUGGUGCGAAAUUCAAAGGCGGCUUCGGCUGUCACUUAUGGAUGGACCCGCGUCGCAUUAGCUAGUUGGUGAGGUAACGGCUCACCAAGGCAACGAUGCGUAGCCGACCUGAGAGGGUGAUCGGCCACACUGGGACUGAGACACGGCCCAGACUCCUACGGGAGGCAGCAGUAGGGAAUCUUCCGCAAUGGACGAAAGUCUGACGGAGCAACGCCGCGUGAGUGAUGAAGGCUUUCGGGUCGUAAAACUCUGUUGUUAGGGAAGAACAAGUGCUAGUUGAAUAAGCUGGCACCUUGACGGUACCUAACCAGAAAGCCA